rnacentral:rRNA from 1 species
ACUCCUACGGGAGGCAGCAGUGGGGAAUAUUGCACAAUGGGCGCAAGCCUGAUGCAGCCAUGCCGCGUGUGUGAAGAAGGCCUUCGGGUUGUAAAGCACUUUCAGUCGUGAGGAAGGUAGUGUAGUUAAUAGCGUGCUUGUUUGACGUUAGCUGCAGAAGAAGCACCGGCUAACUCCGUGCCAGCAGCCGCGGUAAUACGGAGGGUGCGAGCGUUAAUCGGAAUUACUGGGCGUAAAGCGCAUGCAGGUGGUUUGUUAAGUCAGAUGUGAAAGCCCGGGGCUCAACCUCGGAAUUGCAUUUGAAACUGGCAGACUAGAGUACUGUAGAGGGGGGUAGAAUUUCAGGUGUAGCGGUGAAAUGCGUAGAGAUCUGAAGGAAUACCGGUGGCGAAGGCGGCCCCCUGGACAGAUACUGACACUCAGAUGCGAAAGCGUGGGGAGCAAACAGGAUUAGAUACCCUGGUA